rnacentral:tRNA from 1 species
GCCCGGGUGGCUCAGUUGGUUAAGCAUCUGACUUUGGCUCAGGUCAUGAUCUCGCGGUUUGUGGGUUUGAGCCCCACAUUGGGCU